UGGGGAAUAUUGCACAAUGGGCGCAAGCCUGAUGCAGCCAUGCCGCGUGUGUGAAGAAGGCCUUCGGGUUGUAAAGCACUUUCAGCGAGGAGGAAGGUGGUGAACUUAAUACGUUCAUCAAUUGACGUUACUCGCAGAAGAAGCACCGGCUAACUCCGUGCCAGCAGCCGCGGUAAUACGGAGGGUGCAAGCGUUAAUCGGAAUUACUGGGCGUAAAGCGCACGCAGGCGGUUUGUUAAGUCAGAUGUGAAAUCCCCGGGCUCAACCUGGGAACUGCAUUUGAAACUGGCAAGCUAGAGUCUCGUAGAGGGGGGUAGAAUUCCAGGUGUAGCGGUGAAAUGCGUAGAGAUCUGAAGGAAUACCGGUGGCGAAGGCGGCCCCCCUGGACGAAGACUGACGCUCAGGUGCGAAAGCGUGGGGCAGCAAACAGGAUUAGAUACCCUGGUAGUCCACGCUGUAAACGAUGUCGAUUUGGAGGUUGUGCCCUUGAGGCGUGGCUUCCGGAGCUAACG
rnacentral:rRNA from 1 species